CAAGUCGAACGAGAAAGUCCCUUUCGGGGGGCGAGUAGAGUGGCGCACGGGUGAGUAACGCGUAGGUAAUCUACCCUUAUAUUUGGGAUAACCGACCGAAAGGUUGGCUAAUACGGAAUACGCUUUUAAUUACGCGAGUAAUUGAGAGGAAAGGUGGCCUCUGAUUCAAGUUACCGUAUAGGGAUGAGCCUGCGUACCAUUAGCUAGUAGGUGGGGUAAAGGCCUACCUAGGCGACGAUGGUUAGCGGGUCUGAGAGGAUGAUCCGCCACACUGGAACUGGAACACGGACCAGACUCCUACGGGAGGCAGCAGUGAGGAAUAUUGCGCAAUGGGGGCAACCCUGACGCAGCGACGCCGCGUGGGUGAGGAAGGUUUUCGGAUCGUAAAGCCCCGUCAGGUGGGAAGAAGUGUUAUGCGGUUAAUACCCGGGUAAUUUGACGGUACCACCAGAGGAAGCACCGGCUAACUCCGUGCCAGCAGCCGCGGUAAUACGGAGGGUGCUAGCGUUGUUCGGAAUUACUGGGCGUAAAGGGCGCGUAGGCGGCUUGAUAAGUCAGAUGUGAAAGCCCACGGCUCAACCGUGGAAGUGCAUCUGAAACUGUCUGGCUUGAGUAUUGGAUGGGAAAGUGGAAUUCCUGGUGUAGAGGUGAAAUUCGUAGAUAUCAGGAGGAACACCGGCGGCGAAGGCGACUUUCUGGACAAAUACUGACGCUGAGGCGCGAAAGCGUGGGGAGCA
rnacentral:rRNA from 1 species